rnacentral:pre_miRNA from 1 species
AAAAAAGCAAACUCUGAGUUUCCGUGUCCAAUUUUGACUGUCCGUCUUAUAUGAAAUUUUCUAUAAUUUGUAUUUUUAUUGUUGUUAGAUGAUAAAACAUGAUUAAUAUUUUAUACGUGACUUGUUUUUUUAUUUUUUUAUAAUUUGUUUAAAAUAAGACGGACGGUCAAACGUUGGACAGGG